AGUUUUUUUAAUUAAUAAAAGAUAUAAUCUGCCCACUGAAAUAUAUUUUUAAAAGGCCGCAGUAUUUUGACUGUGCAAAGGUAGCAUAAUCAUUAGAUUUUUAAUUGAAAUCUGGAAUGAAUGGUUAAAUGAAAUAAAAUCUUUUUUAAUUUUAAUAUUUGAAUUUUAUUUAUAAGUAAAAAAUCUUAUUUUUAAAAAUGGGACGAGAAGACCCUAUAGAAUUUUAUAAAUAUUGAAUUAAUUAAUUAUUUUUAUUUAUUUAAUUAUUUAAUAAUUUAUUUUAUUGGGGAGAUAUUUAAAUUUAUUAAACUUUAAAUUAUAAAAAUCAUAAAUUAAUGUUAUUUUUGAUCUUUUUUUAAUGAUUAAAAAAAUAAAUUACCUUAGGGAUAACAGCAUAAUAAUUUUAUUAAGUUCUUAUUAAUGAAAGAGAUUAUGACCUCGAUGUUGAAUUAAAAUAAUUAUUAUAUGUAGGAGUAUAAUAAAUAAGUCUGUUCGACUUUUAAAUUUUUACAUGAUUUGAGUUCAAAUCGGUGUAAG
rnacentral:rRNA from 1 species